rnacentral:rRNA from 1 species
CAUUUUUGAGUGCCCACAUU